ACCGUGGUAAUUCUAGAGCUAAUACAUGCUAAAAUUCCCCGACUUCUGGAAAGGGAUGUAUUUAUUAGAUAAAAAACCAAUAUCGGGGCAACUCUAUUCCCUUGGUGAUUCAUAAUAACUUUUCGAAUCGCAAGACUUUACGUUGGCGAUGAAUCUUUCAAAUUUCUGCCCUAUCAACUUUCGAUGGUAGGAUAGAGCCCUACCAUGGUGGUAACGGGUAACGGGGUGUUAGGGCACGACACCGGAGAGGGAGCCUGAGAUACGGCUACCACAUCCAAGGAUGGCAGCCGGCGCGCAAAUUACCCAAUCCCGACACGGGGAGGUAGUGACAAUAAAUAACGAUACGGGGACCUUUCUAAGGGCUAUUCUGCAGGUUAAACGAUUCGCCCUGGUAGUCAUAUGCUUGUCUCCAAGUCGUAACAAGGCUUCCGUAGCGGCCGCAGUAAUUCCAGCUCCAAUAGCGUAUAUUAAAGUUGUUGCAGUUAAAAGGCUCGUAGUUGAAUUUCGGGAUCAAGGGAUUGGUCAUGCCUCGGUAUGCACUGGUCUUAUUGGUUCUCACCUUCUAAAGAACCAUGAUGUCAUUCAUUUGAUGUUAUGGGGAAUUUGGACUGUUACCUUGAAAAAUUAGAGUGUUUAAAGCAAGCUUACGCUUGAAUACAUUAGCAUGGAAUAAUGAAAUAGGACAUCAGAUUCUAUUUUGUUGGUUUCUAGGAUCGAUGUAAUGAUAAAUAGGGAUAGUUGGGCGCAUUAGUAUUCAAUUGUCAGAGGUGAAAUUCUUGGAUUUAUUGAAGACUAACUACUGCGAAAGCAUUUGCCAAGGAUGUUUUCAUUAAUCAAGAACGAAAGUUAGGGGAUCGAAGACGAUCAGAUACCGUCGUAGUCUUAACCAUAAACUAUGCCGACUAGGGAUCGGAUGAUGUUAAUUUUUUAAUGACUCAAUCGGCACCUUACGGGAAACCAAAGUGUUUGGGUUCCGGGGGGAGUAUGGUCGCAAGGCUGAAACUUUAAGGAAUUGACGGAAGGGCACCACCAGGGGUGGAGCCUGCGGCUUAAUUUGACUCAACACGGGGAAACUCACCAGGUCCAGACAUUGUAAGGAUUGACAGAUUGAGAGCUCUUUCUUGAUUCUAUGGGUAGUGGUGCAUGGCCGUUCUUAGUUGGUGGAGUGAUUUGUCUGGUUAAUUCCGUUAACGAACGAGACCUUAACCUGCUAAUUAGCUAGGCUUAACAUUGUUAGUCGCCAGCUUCAAGGGCGAAUUCGCGGCCGCUACCCGAUGGAUGUUCGAGGCUAUAACAAGUCUGUAUUACCCUUAGAUGUUCUUUGCCGCACGCGCGCUAGACUGAUGAAACCAACGAGUUAACAACCUUAAUCGCAAGACAUGGGUAUUCUUUUGAAACUUCAGCGUGCUGGUCAUAGAGAAGAGCAAUUAUCGCAUUCAACGAGGAAUCCCUGGGCAGCCUAAUUCGUCGGG
rnacentral:rRNA from 1 species